GCUGGGAAUGGUGGCACAUCCCUGUAAUCCCAGUGGCUCUGGAAGUUGAGGCAGGAGGUUCAUGAGUUCAAAGCCAGCCUCCGCAAAAGCAGGGCACUAAGCAACUCAGUGAGACCCUGUCUCUA
rnacentral:sRNA from 1 species